ensembl:lncRNA
GGGAUGGCCGGGGGGCCCGCAGAGCGGCCCGGCACGAGGUACGAGGCACGAGGCACCCAGGCAGCAGGCGGGGAGCCGCUUCGGCUCGAGAUGAGCGGGAUUCGGGGGAAAAAAACGCAACAAAAACCAGAGAUGCGAUCAGUUUGUGCAGCGAAAAGAAGGCAAACACGCGGUGAUGCCGUACGUCUGGCGGGUGCUCUCCCAUAGGUCCCUGAGCGGCCCAUCCCGUGUCUGCAGCCCAAAGGCUUUUCCCGAGGGCUGGGAUCAGGCGCGCUCUCCAGCUCCCCAAACGGAGGCUGUAGGUUGGCCCUCUCUCCAGGCAUAAGCUGAAGAACAGGAGGAAAAGCAAAGCAAGAGAUUCCCAUGUUGAGACCAUGGAGCGCAGGAAGCUGCAGUGCUGUGCAGCCAUCUGAACUCAGAGUGAUGUUUGACCUCAGAUGAUGAACAGCAGCUUUGCCUUCUUGCUGUGCAAUGCCAGAUCACCAGAAAAGACCUUAGCUAAUACUUGUAAUGAUAUCGUGGCUCAGAUUGGGUGUACGAGCAUGUUGUAUGCUGCUUAACAGCAGAAGGUGAUGGGAUUCGAUGGAGAUGCAUAUAUGUAUUUCCUAACCUUCAGCAGGAACAGCAAAGAACUCUUGUUCCAAGAAGGAAUUCAGAAUAUCUCCUCCGCGUUCUACCUCUGCAUGCUGAGACAGAGUGAGAACUGCAGUCAUGGAGUGAGAAGACUCACAGAAGAGGUCAGUGCUUACCAUAACAACAGCGGUGCACUUUUGCAGGGCUGUGGUAUUUUCCAGGGUGUUGUAGUUGGGCAUUCCCUGCACAAAGCAUGAAGGACCGUGCCAUGCUGACAUGCUGACAAGGCAGCCUCUGUCCCGGUCUCACAGGCAGCACUGUGAGCUGGAGUUGCCUUUAGCCGUCAGAUACAUCAGCUUGAUAAUCUGUGCAAAGGUGUGUGGUUGGUACACCCCAUCUGUCUGAGUUCUACAACAAGUCCCUGUUUGCAUCAAAUUCUGGACUGCUCGCGUCCCUCUCUGACUACACUGGAGAACAGCUGAGGUCCCUCUCACUGAACGCUGCUUCCCAAGGGCUGAAUUCGGAUGAGAAAACCACUGUAACACUGGCUCCUACUAUUCAGUGGGAAUAACCAGAGCCAGGUGAGCACGGAUUCUGUGGCACAUAUUGAAUGCCUGGAGACCAACAACAGAGCUCCUGGAAUGGAAUUCCUCCAUUCCAGGCGGUCCACUGCAACAAAUAAUGGACUCAACAAAAAGAACAGCUAUAAGAAUAAAGGAGAAAGAGUGAUUUGUAUUUGGAGGAAUUAUGAGUGUGACUUCAUUCAGAACCAGCCCAGCACACGUGUAGAACUCCCUAAGUGCAGUUCAGAGCAUUGCGUCCUCUGAUCAGGUAGGAACUAAUUUGCUAAGUGCAAAAGUUGGAAAAUUUUGUAGCUGUUUAACAGCAAAUCACAGAUCUGUCCUCAUUUAUUUUUCCUGACACAUUUAUUAUUGAAAGAUGGUUUGGUGAGUGCCAUAAGUAAGCAGGCGGUGUUGUUCCUGAGCCCUGAGAUUUGUCACUUCGGCUACAUCUUUCUGAUCUGUGACGGAGUGUUUUCUGCAGGAGAACAGGAAUGCUAAAUAAGGCAUCAAUAAUGCAAGAGAUCCGUGAAUAAUCACCCGAGUGCUUGAAAACGAGUGGACAGUGUGAUCAUAUGGUAGAAGAAAAAUAACGUUAGCUGCAUAUUUAUCAACGCCUGGUGCCAUUAGCACAGGGUCUGGCAAUAGCUCAAGGCUUCUAGGAGACAGUGCACACAGUGCUUUGGUGCCCAAUGCUACAGGAGGAGGGCACAUCCCCAGAGCAGGGAGCUUGUUUGGGCCCGGCCAGUCUGUGGCUGGAUGGGGUAAUGGAUGGGGAUGGCAGACAGCACCCUUCGUGUGUUUGUCCUAUGCUGCUGCAUUUUAGCCCUGUCUCUCACUGCACCAACGUGUCUAUCUUAAAAAGGACUUCUGAGUGCAAACAUUUGAUCCUGGGAGCAAGCAGAGUCAUUGGAAACUGUACCAGAAAGAACCGCCCCUGUCCCGCAGCUGUGUUGGAGUCACUCUCGGACUGCCUGCACUUCUGGUAGCUUUGGAACUGAGCUCUUUUUGGGCUGAAUGAGAGGGGCCCAACAGCUCCAUCAGGAGAAAAAUGGCUGCGGGAAGUAUAGAGUGCAUGUCAACGUGUGUCUAACGAGAGCUGAUGGGAAAUGCAGGACCGUGAACAGAUGCAAUGGAAUGGCAUCCUGUGGGAGGAGGCAGGUCCAGCCGCACACGGCACUGCCACGGGGUACAGGAACGAGUUAAUGCCACUGGGGGACGGCUGAGAACAGCGACAUUGUUGUUCCCUGAUGUCAGCCCAGAAACCCAAACACAAAGAGGUGAAUGUAGUGCUAUGAGAGGGCCCUUGAGAGAGCUGAAUGCUGGGCCUGUGCCGGGGCACCCAGCAGAAUUAGAAACGGCAGGGGAUGACCAAGUGUUUCCUGGAAGCAGGGGCUGCAGGCAGCUGUCGGCAGGCAGGGCUGUGUGCGUGGGGCACUGCUGGCUGCAGUGGUACAAGCAGGCAGUGUCGGUAGGCUUGAGGAGAUCCACGUCCACGAGGGACUCCUGUUUUACUUUAUAGCUCAGCGUAAGGCGUCUCAUUUCCUCCUGUAGGAUGCACACGUCGAGCCCUUCUGCAUAAUUCAGUGUUGCAUUUGGUGGGUGGUGCUCUGGGGGAUAUUUAGAUGGAGCGACAGUAGAGACAUUGCUUUGCUUCUGUACAAACUGCACAUCAGAUCUUCUAUGUGAAACGUAGGGAAAAAAAGACAGAGAUCUGCUGGAAGGAGUCCGGUGGAGGGCCACAGCGAUGAUAGAAGGCCUGGAGCAUCUUCCCUGUGAGGAAAGGCUGAGAGACCCCACGUUCAGCCCGGGGAAAAGGAGGCCGAGAUGGGAUCUGUUUAUGUUUAUGAACAUGAAGGGAGGCGGGAGCCAAAAGGAUGAGGCCAGGCUCUUCUUGGUGGUGCGCAGCAAUAGGAUGAGGAGCAAUGGCCUAACACUUGUUGUAGGAAGUUUCAAGCUAACAUGUGGAAGAACUUUAUGUAAGGGUGAGGGAGCACCCUGCAGAUCUGUACAGAAAGUCUGAGACUAAACGCUGACAGAGAUGUAUGCACCAACACACGGCACCACUGCAGGCAGCACGACGGGGAGCCGGAACCCCGAGGGCAGCACCCGUCGGGGCGCCUCCACGGGGCACCAGCGGCAAGAGAGCGGCCGGCCCACAGGCCGAGAGCACGGAGCGGGGCGGCGGGGGACGGCGGGAAGCCCGGGGACAACGCCGGGCGGGGCCGCCGAGGCGCCGAGCUGCCCGCAGUGCGCUCCACCCAGCCGGGCUCGGCCCGGCCCCGCGCGGCGGCCCGCCCUCUCAUAGCGCCCCGCGAAAACUUUCCCACAGCCGGGGAUGUAGCUCAGUGGUAGAGCGCGCGCUUCGCAUGUGUGAGGUCCCGGGUUCAAUCCCCGGCAUCUCCAGCGGCUUCUUUUUUGCGUCGCACGCCAUUUUCUCCCCUCUCUCCAGCUGCGGGAGGCUCCCGCUGCCGCGAAUCGCGCGGCCGUUGUCCCGCCGCACCGCUGUGCGCCUGAGGCGAGUCCUCGGGGAGGCCGGGAAAGCAACGCGGCGCUGCGGCUUCUCCGGCCUUAAAAAGAGCACUGCUUUUUGCCGAAAGGAAAUACAAACGAGUAAAUCAAUCAAGGCUUUAAAGGGAAGGAAAAAAAAAAUUGAGGGAAAGGAAAAAAUUUCGGUUGCAUUGGCCGGGAAUCGAACCCGGGCCUCCCGCGUGGCAGGCGAGAAUUCUACCACUGAACCACCAAUGCACGACUUGCGAUGUUAUAUGGAUGGUCUGUCCUACAAUAUAUCAAACAUUGGGUUUCUGCUGUGCUUUUCUUUCCCCUUUUCUCUUCCCAGCUCUGUGCCCAUGAGCAGUACCUCCAGCCGUUAUCUCCAGGAGAAAAUGUUUUUAGAAAGUCGGCAAUAUUUGUAUACAUUUUUUCCUCCAACAGAUUAAAAACCCUGUAACUUUCCAUAAUAAAGUCAUCGUCCCUUGAAUUUAACAGCAUUCAGGCUAAGUAACAGCGGGUUUAUCCUUGUAUCCAGUGCUGGGAGGGCACUGCCAGAGGAGGCCACCAGCAGAGACCACAGCUCUGCUCAGCACAGCCCUGCUCUGAGGGACGCAGCCCACAGACACUGAUACACAAUGGAACACAGUGCAGUGAUGGGUAAUGGUGUAAGAGGGCCUGGACAGUGACGUAACAACGUCACCACUGCAGCAGUGCGGUGCAGUGCCAUCACAGCUCCUUGUCCCCCCAGACCUCAACUUCUCCUUUUACGCUGGCAGAAAGUAACAGAGUAAAAGCAUCAGGUAGUAACUCUUACUUAGGCUAUGCUUACAAUAUCUCCAGUCAGCCCUGGAACACUUUCUCUAGAACAAAAGAAGUUAGAGGUGGAAAAUGCUCAUAUUGAGAAGAGUUUAACUUCCUGUUUUACUCUAUGUGGAGGAAGAUUUUACAGAUGAUCAACAAAGUGUUACCAAUCCUGUGCCAUUUCCAGAGUGAAAGUGAAACCAGCCCUUACACUCGCAGUUUGCAGCUAAGAGAAUCCUUUCCCACGUGCAUCAGACAGCGCUCUGCAUCCGCUCAGAACAUCCAUGUAUGCUGGCUGAAGGGUUACAGACAGCACGGUGAAGGAGGGGGAGUUGGACCCACUGCAGCUGGAGCACUGCUGCAGAACGUGCUCCAGAAGCACUUGUUCAAGCAGCGUGACAGGCUCAUACCUAACUUCUAACUCUAGGGAUGUCUAAGACAUCCUAACUUUACGAUGACUGCACGUGGGAGAGUGCUGAAUGGAGAGAAUCAAGACCUGUAACAUUAGAAAAUGAUUAGAAAAUCAUUCCCUUCAGCUGGUUCAAAAAUCUUUCUAGAAGCCAAAGGGAUGCCAUAGACCUUCAGCAGAAACAGAGAAGGAAAAACAUGUUAUAGGGAGAGAGGAUUUUCUUAGAUCUUUUUAUCCAUCAAAAAGAGCCAAAUGCACUUCCUUCCAUUCCAGGUCACCUUUAAAGGGGCUCUGAUCUUGCUGCUUGUGGCUAAGGCUUGACACAGUGCCUUCCUAGCGGCUCUGCUGCUGCAGGGUGGGAGUGAUGUGCUCUGGGCACUGGUGCUGCCCCUGCUGUGUGCCUCUGAGGAGGGUGCUGUAGCUCAGGGGCACCGAGAGCAUCUCAAGUGCAGGUGGUACAGGUGGAUUUGGAACAAGGUAAGGAGUUUCAGACAGGAAGUGCUAAAACUGCUCAAAUCACUCUUAAAACUGGAGGUGUGAGUUACCUGGAGUGUGGUAAGUGGACAUCGUUCAUUCCCUCUUUCCUGCUAGGUAUGGCCACACGUGCUCCUGCCAUGUGAUGCCCGUGUGGCGGUGCACCACUCACAGUUACAUUGGGGUUGCAUCCAUCUCUGUAUU